AGUGAACGCUGGCGGUAGGCCUAACACAUGCAAGUCGAACGGCAGCACAGUAAGAGCUUGCUCUUACGGGUGGCGAGUGGCGGACGGGUGAGGAAUACAUCGGAAUCUACUUUUUCGUGGGGGAUAACGUAGGGAAACUUACGCUAAUACCGCAUACGACCUACGGGUGAAAGCAGGGGAUCUUCGGGCCUUGCGCGAUUGAAUGAGCCGAUGUCGGAUUAGCUAGUUGGCGGGGUAAAGGCCCACCAAGGCGACGAUCCGUAGCUGGUCUGCGAGGAUGAUCAGCCACACUGGAACUGAGACACGGUCCAGACUCCUACGGGAGGCAGCAGUGGGGAAUAUUGGACAAUGGGCGCAAGCCUGAUCCAGCCAUACCGCGUGGGUGAAGAAGGCCUUCGGGUUGUAAAGCCCUUUUGUUGGGAAAGAAAAGCAGCAGGUUAAUACCCCGCUGUUCUGACGGUACCCAAAGAAUAAGCACCGGCUAACUUCGUG
rnacentral:rRNA from 1 species